CUAUUACUAUCCAUUAUACUGGCUAAACUGAUAAUAUGUUGGCUGUUACAUCAAGAACUGCAGCUCUUUUAUAUGAGAAGUCUGUAUACAUAUAACCAGUGUGCAUAUGAACAACUCAACAAACUUCAUGACCCUGCAGUUUAAACUAUGCAAUUGUAUGCAUGCAUGUAGACAUACAGAGAUACACUGCGAUACAUGAAAGGGGAAGGGAAAAGUAGCACAGAAAAGAGAUAAUCCAGUUUGUUUCUACUAAGAUCCAGUCAAGCUUACAAUUUACAGUGUGAGUGCUCCAUUCAGGAACAAGGAAGGCUUCAUAAUAUGGACACAUGCGAUCUUAACUCUUGAAAGAUGUUUACAUGAUCCUUCUGCUUCGGAAAUAAGGAGACAAUUACCAAGGUUAUUAGAACAUUCUCACAAUAGAAAAAAGAUCACUAUUUCUAAGAUGUCUUUGUUGCCUAAAGAUAAAACACAAAAUACAAGGACUGUCAUUCUAAAGUUUUAUAAAAAGGAACGGUUAGCUCUGGGCCCAAUGCCACGUUCAUUCAGAAGCUGGCCUGCAUCUCUCCAACCCUCACCAUCCACUUAAAAAACCUCAGCCACAAAACCCUGCCCGUUUACUGGUUGUUCCCCUAAAGCAGUGGGCAUAUAACCACCUCCUCACCUGAACCCACACCAUGGCCUCUAUCUGAUGACCUCUCUCACUCGUCUUACUUGUUAUCAUCUUCCAGACCCACUCAGCCCCUUCCUUUUCCUGGAACCCUCUUCACUGGCUCAAGCCCCAGGGAACUCUCCUCUCCUCCAAAUGCCUACAAACCUUAUUUUCUUUUUUGUUUUUGUCUUUUGUCUUUUUAGGGCCACACCCACGGCAUAUGGAACUUCCCAGGCUAGGGGUCAAAUCAGAGCUACAGCUGCUGGCCUACACCAUGGCCACCAGAUCCGCUCCACAUCUGUGACCUACACCACAGCUCACGGCAAUGCCGGAUCCUCAACCCACUAAGCGAGGCCAGGGAUUGAACACACAACCUCAUGGUUCCUAGUUGGAUUGUUUUCCACUGUGCCACAACGGGAACUCCAGACCUUAUUUUCUAUAAGUCCAUCUGAGGCAGAGAUGGUAUUUCAAAGGCCUUAUAUCCCCCCAGGACCUAAGAGAUUCUGAAUAAAUGGUUGUUAAUAUAUAAUGGUGUAUCAGUUAUAGAACAGCUACAAAGGAGAAAGGAGAACUUUCCUUUUGGCUGCUUACACAGCGAGAACAAACAAAUAUAAUCUUUCAAACCAGUUAGCAAGCAGAACCCAACUGGCAGAAGUGUGUCUUUGCUAUUAAUGACAUGUUCCAACAAUAAAGAAUGCCACUACUAAAAAAGCAAGUCUAAUACUUUCCUAAAGGGAAGUACAGUUUACAAAAGAGUGUCAUCACAUACACUCCCAAUUCCCCAAAUACUAACUGAGAAAGAGAACAGAGGGACAAAGUAAUUCUAUCUUCCCUCAAGUAAUGGAGACAUAGGUACAUAUUUCACAAUCUUGCAAGUACUAAUUCCUCCUUAAAUAAAAACAUUGUGUAAACAGAGUUCCCCAUGUAGCUCAGCUGAAAGGAACCUGACUAUCAGCAUCCAUGAGGAUGCAGGUUGGAUCCCUAGCCUCAAUCAGUGGGUUAAGGAUCCGGUGUUACCAUGAGCUGUGGUGGAGGUCACAGACAUGGCUCGGAUCCUGUGUUGCUGUGGCGUAAGCUGGCAGAUACCGCUCUGAUUUGACCCCUAGCCUGGGAACCUGCAAACACCUCCAGUGCAGCCCUAAAAAGACAAAAAAAAAAAAAAAAAAAAAAAAAAACAGAAAAGAAAGAAACAUUAUGUACAUGGAUUAGCCACGAACCUUUCACCUACAAGGGCUCCUAAACAUAAAAUGUAGCAACCGAGCAGUUCUUUAAGGCAACUUGUAACUGCUGGAACCAUCCUAAAUAUCCCUAUUUUAUAUGGUUUAAAAUCAAGGUAUAUGACAUUUGCAUUAGAUCAAGGCUCUGUCAAAGAGUCAUUAUCAUACACACUAUCACACACAUGUACAGACACAGAGUCACUUGUAUCCUUUGAUUAGUGCUAAUAUGAGAUGUGAACAAAAGCUACUGCUGUUCUCAAAAAAGCUAUGGGAUAAAUCAGCUAUCCUGCUAUGCAAUUACAUUUAUUGUAAUUGCUCAUGACAAAGACAGAGACUUCUUAAAUAUUCCAAGUAUAAACAACCAAAUGAAUUAGCACUCUUUUAACUAGCAGGUAACAGGAAGAGCACUUGAAGCAGCAGAGGAAAAGCAAGAUCAACUUACUGACUUCAAGUAAGUCAGCAACAGGAAAGCCAUACAGGGGGAUGGGCUUUAGGGCCAACUCAGAAUGAACUCCACCAGGACAAGCUGACACCUUUGCUUCUAAAGGUUGGCUUUGUUCUCCCUUCCUAAAAUCUGCCUUCUGCCACUUAACUCCCAGCUCUGCCAGUAAGAGGGACUAUUUCAUGGUUAUGAUUUUACGAAUUUUGAAGAAAAACCACACACUGGUUCAGCUUGAGGUCAUGUACCCACCUCAGUCACCAAAGUCAUGUGAGUGGCCAGUCUAUACUAGAACUACAUAGUUGAACUGGCAGGAAGAGCAGUCAGUUCUCCAGAAGGUGAGUUUACUUCCCAGAAGUGGAAAGGAGUGCUUAUUUGCCUGUCCAAAAAUAAACAUGACCACCUAUCAAGGAACUCCAUUUCAAGUUGAAUGCAAAAGCUUAUCUAAAAAGUACUCAACCUGGUAAUAAAUUACAUUCUAAAAAUUGUUUAAUGAACCCUAAAGUUAAUGAUCUUUUAUGUGGCACCUGAAAUGCAUUUCACUAGAGACAAUAUUUUGAAUACUAUACUCAAACUCCGUUCAGAACAUUGUUCCUAUAGGAAAAUGUAUUUGAAUCUCCACCUACAGCAAGAAAAACAUGCUCAAUUUAAUUCAUUUACUGAGUAGUAAAGACAGUGGCUUCCACCUGCACACAGUUGUUUUACAUUUAAUCGCUGACACAGCAAGGCAGGUAUUAACAACUGCCACUGAGAGGAAAACUGGGAGGUGAAGAAGGUUCUGAGGCCUAAGGUCAAUAAUGACUACUAGUCAGAGGCUGCUUCAAAGCCAUGUACAUUUGACUCCAGAGCUGAGAUAAUUCCAGCUGAUAGCCGAAGCAGCCAAACAAGAAUGGGCUUUCAGUUCAGGCGACUGAGAGCUAAUGUUUCUGACUUGCAGAAAAGUAAAGGAACUAGGAACAGGCAGGCACAGUUAACAGCCAGACCUUAACUUUCUAUAUCUUCCCAAGGGAAGGUAUUUCCCUGUGGCAGAACAAAAAGAAAAUAUUUCUCUGGAUAAACUUUAUAAAUAUAAAAUACAAAUAUAUAAAUUAUAAAUCAUACUGAUGCUUGUACUGACAUGAAGAUGGUCUGAAAAUUAAAGGUCUAUGAACAGUAUCUUU
rnacentral:lncRNA from 1 species